rnacentral:rRNA from 1 species
UACGUAGGGUGCAAGCGUUGUCCGGAAUUAUUGGGCGUAAAUAGCUCGUAGGUGGUGUGUCGCGUCUGCCGUGAAAGCCCGGGGCUUAACUCCGGGUCUGCGGUGGAUACGGGCAGACUAGAGGCAGGUAGGGGAGAACGGAAUUCCCGGUGUAGCGGUGAAAUGCGCAGAUAUCAGGAAGAACACCCGUGGCUAAGGCGGCUCUCUGGGACGGUACUGACGCUGAGACGCGAAAGCGUGGGGAGCGAACAGG